rnacentral:rRNA from 1 species
AGAGUUUGAUCCUGGCUCAGGAUGAACGCUAGCGGCAGGCUUAACACAUGCAAGUCGAGGGGCAGCAUAAUGGUAGCAAUACUAUUGAUGGCGACCGGCGGACGGGUGCGUAACGCGUAUGCAACCUACCCUUUACAGGGGGAUAACACUGAGAAAUCGGUACUAAUACCCCAUAAUAUUCUGGGAGGCAUCUUUCGGAGUUGAAAGCUUUGGUGGUAAAGGAUGGGCAUGCGUUGUAUUAGCUAGUUGGUAAGGUAACGGCUUACCAAGGCGACGAUACAUAGGGGGACUGAGAGGUUAACCCCCCACAUUGGUACUGAGACACGGACCAAACUCCUACGGGAGGCAGCAGUGAGGAAUAUUGGUCAAUGGACGCAAGUCUGAACCAGCCAUGCCGCGUGCAGGAUGACGGCUCUAUGAGUUGUAAACUGCUUUUGUACGAGGGUAAACGCAGAUACGUGUAUCUGCCUGAAAGUAUCGUACGAAUAAGGAUCGGCUAACUCCGUGCCAGCAGCCGCGGUAAUACGGAGGAUCCAAGCGUUAUCCGGAUUUAUUGGGUUUAAAGGGUGCGUAGGCGGUUUAGUAAGUCAGCGGUGAAAUUUUGGUGCUUAACACCAAACGUGCCGUUGAUACUGCUGGGCUAGAGAGUAGUUGCGGUAGGCGGAAUGUAUGGUGUAGCGGUGAAAUGCUUAGAGAUCAUACAGAACACCGAUUGCGAAGGCAGCUUACCAAACUAUAUCUGACGUUGAGGCACGAAAGCGUGGGGAGCAAACAGGAUUAGAUACCCUGGUAGUCCACGCAGUAAACGAUGAUAACUCGCUGUCGGCGAUACACAGUCGGUGGCUAAGCGAAAGCGAUAAGUUAUCCACCUGGGGAGUACGUUCGCAAGAAUGAAACUCAAAGGAAUUGACGGGGGCCCGCACAAGCGGAGGAACAUGUG